rnacentral:rRNA from 1 species
GCGUGCUUAACACAUGCAAGUCGAACGGAAAGGCCCUGCUUUUGUGGGGUGCUCGAGUGGCGAACGGGUGAGUAACACGUGAGUAACCUGCCCUUGACUUUGGGAUAACUUCAGGAAACUGGGGCUAAUACCGGAUAGGAGCUCCUGCUGCAUGGUGGGGGUUGGAAAGUUUCGGCGGUUGGGGAUGGACUCGCGGCUUAUCAGCUUGUUGGUGGGGUAGUGGCUUACCAAGGCUUUGACGGGUAGCCGGCCUGAGAGGGUGACCGGCCACAUUGGGACUGAGAUACGGCUCAGACUCCUACGGGAGGCAGCAGUGGGGAAUAUUGCACAAUGGGCGGAAGCCUGAUGCAGCAACGCCGCGUGCGGGAUGACGGCCUUCGGGUUGUAAACCGCUUUCGCCUGUGACGAAGCGUGAGUGACGGUAAUGGGUAAAGAAGCACCGGCUAACUACGUGCCAGCAGCCGCGGUGAUACGUAGGGUGCGAGCGUUGUCCGGAUUUAUUGGGCGUAAAGGGCUCGUAGGUGGUUGAUCGCGUCGGAAGUGUAAUCUUGGGGCUUAACCCUGAGCGUGCUUUCGAUACGGGUUGACUUGAGGAAGGUAGGGGAGAAUGGAAUUCCUGGUGGAGCGGUGGAAUGCGCAGAUAUCAGGAGGAACACCAGUGGCGAAGGCGGUUCUCUGGGCCUUUCCUGACGCUGAGGAGCGAAAGCGUGGGGAGCGAACAGGCUUAGAUACCCUGGUAGUCCACGCUGUAAACGGUGGGUACUAGGUGUGGGGUCCAUUCCACGGGUUCCGCGCCGUAGCUAACGCUUAAAUACCCCGCCUGGGGAGUACGGCCGCAAGGCUAAAACUCAAAGGAAUUGACGGGGCCCCGCACAAGCGGCGGAGCAUGCGGAUUAAUUCGAUGCAACGCGUAGAACCUUACCUGGGUUUGACAUGGAUCGGGAGUGCUCAGAGAUGGGUGUGCCUCUUUUGGGGUCGGUUCACAGGUGGUGCAUGGCUGUCGUCAGCUCGUGUCGUGAGAUGUUGGGUUAAGUCCCGCAACGAGCGCAACCCUUGUUCACUGUUGCCAGCACGUUAUGGUGGGGACUCAGUGGAGACCGCCGGGGUCAACUCGGAGGAAGGUGGGGAUGACGUCAAGUCAUCAUGCCCCUUAUGUCCAGGGCUUCACGCAUGCUACAAUGGCUGGUACAGAGAGUGGCGAGCCUGUGAGGGUGAGCGAAUCUCGGAAAGCCGGUCUCAGUUCGGAUUGGGGUCUGCAACUCGACCUCAUGAAGUUGGAGUCGCUAGUAAUCGCAGAUCAGCAACGCUGCGGUGAAUACGUUCCCGGGGCUUGUACAC